CACAAAUUCACAUUAAAAACAAAAUAUAAUUUCAUUAUUUCACGAGAGGAAAUCAUGUAAAACAAAUAGUUUAAUAAAGUGCAUCAUUGCAAACAUUGUUUGGUACCAAAUUAUUGAAGAUUUGCUUAAUUCGAGGCCAUCAUUUCUUCACCAGCGAUAGUAGAAGGACCGGGAGCUGCAAACAUAAAAUCGAGUAUUUAAAGACUAAGUCAAUUGUUCAUAUGAAUUUUUACAAAAGAAGAGCAUAAUAUUACCAUUAUCGUGAAUGCAAGAGGUUGUAACCCUUUGCGUUUCCUCAUUUUUUUGAUAGCACCAAAUAAUCUUAAUAUCCUCAAUCCUGGAAAAAAGAUUUAAUUGAACGGUUCCUCAUCAUCUUGGAUUUCUAAUCUCCUGAUGACCAUGAAAUAAAACUGACUAAGUAAUACAAUUUAACAGCAUCAAUUCACUGAGUUUGCCUAAUAUGAAGGAACUAGGGAAAGAAUUGGAUGAUACAGUGUACAUAUUACCUGUGCGGCAGUGUGUGUGCACUGUAAUUUCAAUAUUUGGAGAAGAUCAGAAGGAGAGGCAGGUGGCAAGGACGCCGGAUCCGGCGGCCGGCGUGGCGGGGAAUCGCGAGUUGAUAACUGACGAAGGUGGCGGCGCAGGCGCGCAGCGCAG
rnacentral:lncRNA from 1 species